GAUGAACGCUGGCGGCGUGCCUAAUACAUGCAAGUCGAGCGAACAGACGAGGAGCUUGCUCCUCUGACGUUAGCGGCGGACGGGUGAGUACCACGUGGAUAACCUACCUAUAAGACUGGGAUAACUUCGGGAAACCGGAGCUAAUACCGGAUAAUAUAUUGAACCGCAUGGUUCAAUAGUGAAAGACCGUCUUGCUGUCACUUAUAGAUGGAUCCGCGCCGCAUUAGCUAGUUGGUAAGGUAACGGCUUACCAAGGCGACGAUGCGUAGCCGACCUGAGAGGGUGGUCGGCCACACUGGAAGUGAGACACGGUCCAGAGUCCUACGGGAGGCAGCAGUAGGGAAUCUUCCGCAAUGGGCGAAAGCCUGACGGAGCAACGCCGGGGGAGUGAUGAAGGUCCUCGGAUCGUAAAACUCUGUUAUUAGGGAAGAACAAAUGUGUAAGUAACGAUGAACAUCUUGACGGUACCUAAUCAGAAAGCCACGGCUAACUACGUG
rnacentral:rRNA from 1 species